GAGUUUGAUCCUGGCUCAGGAUGAACGCUGGCGGCGUGCUUAACACAUGCAAGUCGAACGGGAAACCUUUUAUUGAAGCUUCGGCAGAUUUAGAUUGUUUCUAGCGGCGGACGGGUGAGUAACGCGUGGGUAACCUGCCUCAUACAGGGGGAUAACAGUUGGAAACGGCUGCUAAUACCGCAUAAGCGCACAGUAUCGCAUGGUACGGUGUGAAAAACUCCGGUGGUAUGAGAUGGACCCGCGUCUGAUUAGCUAGUUGGAGGGGUAACGGCCCACCAAGGCGACGAUCAGUAGCCGGCCUGAGAGGGUGAACGGCCACAUUGGGACUGAGACACGGCCCAGACUCCUACGGGAGGCAGCAGUGGGGAAUAUUGCACAAUGGGGGAAACCCUGAUGCAGCGACGCCGCGUGAAGGAAGAAGUAUCUCGGUAUGUAAACUUCUAUCAGCAGGGAAGAAAAUGACGGUACCUGACUAAGAAGCCCCGGCUAACUACGUGCCAGCCGCCGCGGUAAUAC
rnacentral:rRNA from 1 species